AGUUUGAUCCUGGCUCAGAUUGAACGCUGGCGGCAUGCUUUACACAUGCAAGUCGAACGGCAGCGCGGGGCAACCUGGCGGCGAGUGGCGAACGGGUGAGUAAUACAUCGGAACGUACCCAGAAGUGGGGGAUAACGUAGCGAAAGUUACGCUAAUACCGCAUACGUUCUACGGAAGAAAGUGGGGGAUCGCAAGACCUCAUGCUUUUGGAGCGGCCGAUGUCUGAUUAGCUAGUUGGUGAGGUAAAGGCUCACCAAGGCGACGAUCAGUAGCUGGUCUGAGAGGACGACCAGCCACACUGGGACUGAGACACGGCCCAGACUCCUACGGGAGGCAGCAGUGGGGAAUUUUGGACAAUGGGCGCAAGCCUGAUCCAGCAAUGCCGCGUGAGUGAGGAAGGCCUUCGGGUUGUAAAGCUCUUUGUCAGGGAAGAAACGGCUGGGGCUAAUAUCUCCGGCUAAUGACGGUACCUGAAGAAUAAGCACCGGCUAACUACGUG
rnacentral:rRNA from 1 species